CUUUGGAUAUGUCUAUGUUGGGGCAGGACCAGGACUCUCUUAGAGGUCACAUGGUCUCUCCAACACUCCCCUCCUCCCCGGGCCGUCCAGGUGCCACCGUUAAACCAGUCCUGCCACCCAUCCCAUCUGGAAGGAAGACCAGUGAUUCCGGCUCAAAGCAAUAACUAACAGGACAGAGAGCUAGAGAGGAUCAUAUCUCAGAGAAGGACAAACCUGUCCACAUUAUAUUAUCCAGAGCAGCGGUGGGAGACAAAGAACCCGGCAUAAAUCAUCUUUUCCACACAGAGACGAGCAAGAGAGGCUAAAUCAUAGUAGAGCUGUUGUAUUUUACCCUCGUUGCUGCAAAAGCUGUUGAUCAGCUCAGGCCUACAGGGCCACAGCUGUGACUGCUCUUGAUACACUACAUUGUUAAAAUGGUGCUUCAGUGAAUUUUCUCGGUCACAGGAUAGAGGUUGUGGAAUAUAAAUAGGAACUAUUUCUAAAUCUUCAUCUGCACUAUAUUCUUCAUUCUGCUAAUAGAAGUAUAUUUAAGCAAUACCAUUACACUGUAUGAGAAAGAGUGUUGUUGUACUGAACAUCAACAGACUUGCUUUCAUAUAACAGUUCAAUAAGCAAUCCG
rnacentral:lncRNA from 1 species